rnacentral:tRNA from 1 species
GGGGCCGGGUGGGUCGAUUGGGCCGGGUCGCCUCCCGCGGGGCCGCCCCGCGCCGCGCGAGCCCGCGCCGGCUCCGCC